rnacentral:rRNA from 1 species
UACGUAGGGGGCAAGCGUUGUCCGGAUUUACUGGGCGUAAAGAGCGCGCAGGCGGUCGUUCAAGUCGCGUGUGAAAGCCCCCCGGCUCAACUGGGGAGGGUCACGCGAUACUGAUCGACUCGAAGGCAGGAGAGGGUAGUGGAAUUCCCGGUGUAGUGGUGAAAUGCGUAGAUAUCGGGAGGAACACCAGUGGCGAAGGCGACUACCUGGCCUGUUCUUGACGCUGAGGCGCGAAAGCUAGGGGAGCAAACGGG